rnacentral:rRNA from 1 species
GACGAACGCUGGCGGCGUGCCUAAUACAUGCAAGUUGAGCGAUGAAGCUUGGUGCUUGCACCAAUUUGAAGAGCAGCGAACGGGUGAGUAACGCGUGGGGAAUCUGCCUUUGAGCGGGGGACAACAUUUGGAAACGAAUGCUAAUACCGCAUAACAACUUUAAACAUAAGUUUUAAGUUUGAAAGAUGCAAUUGCAUCACUCAAAGAUGAUCCCGCGUUGUAUUAGCUAGUUGGUGAGGUAAAGGCUCACCAAGGCGAUGAUACAUAGCCGACCUGAGAGGGUGAUCGGCCACAUUGGGACUGAGACACGGCCCAAACGCCUACGGGAGGCAGCAGUAGGGAAUCUUCGGCAAUGGACGAAAGUCGGACCGAGCAACGCCGCGUGAGUGAAGAAGGUUUUCGGAUCGUAAAACUCUGUUGGUAGAGAAGAACGUUGGUGAGAGUGGAAAGCUCAUCAAGUGACGGUAACUACCCAGAAAGGGACGGCUAACUACGUG